rnacentral:rRNA from 2 species
UAAAACCAGCACCUCAAGUGGUCAGGAUGAUUAUUGGGCCUAAAGCAUCCGUAGCCGGCUCUGUAAGUUUUCGGUUAAAUCUGUACGCUCAAUGUACAGGCUGCUGGAAAUACUGCAGAGCUAGGGAGUGGGAGAGGUAGACGGUACUCGGGAGGAAGUGGUAAAAUGCUUUGAUCUCUCGAUGACCACCUGUGGCGAAGGCGGUCUACCAGAACACGUCCGACGGUGAGGGAUGAAAGCUGGGGGAGCAAACCGGAUUAGAUACCCGGGUAGUCCCAGCUGUAAACUAUGCAAACUCAGUGAUGCGUUGGCUUAUGGCCAGCGCAGUGUUGCAGGGAAGCCGUUAAGUUUGCCGCCUGGGAAGUACGUACGCAAGUAUG